AUGCAACGCUUCCAGGAAGAU
rnacentral:snRNA from 1 species